UGGCUAGUAAGGUUAUAAACAU
rnacentral:siRNA from 1 species